rnacentral:ribozyme from 9 species
GCGCAGGGAUGCGUGAGAAAUACAUAGACGGCGUGGAAGACAGAAACAAAACAGGAUGGGAAAUAAUGGAAAGGGCCACAACGAAGGACAAUCUGAUCAUAUCAGCUAUCUUUCUAUGUUUUUGGUUG